UUUCUCUUUACAUUUUGUGAAUCAUGAGGAUAUCAAUGAGGAUUGUUCAUCGAAAAAUUUACACUUUAAGUCACUUUAUUACUUUUUACUACAUGAUAGAUCACUUCUUGCUAUUGAGGCAUUUUUCCCUAACUAAAUGUAAACUACAACGAAGUCUAGUUCGUUCUUUUUUUUUAAUAUUUGUUUGACUUUCUCCUCCACUUUAAUUUAUCUUCUUUCUGUAAAAUUUACUUUAUACUUUUUCUGACCAACCAAAAUAACCCUCCUCCCCCAUAGUCUUCUUCUUUUCUCACGGACAACAAAGGACACUUCAUCUCUGUAGCUUUGUUGAGAAGUUGACAAUCCGCCUCAAGAAGAAGUCAUCUCGUCCUUGUUGUGGUCGUCAUGAUUGGACCAGAGUCGUGGUAGCCGGAAUCGUCAAGGCUUCAGUCGUAGAUCAAAGACAGAGCUUAAUUUUAGCAACAAUGGCAGCUUUAGAUUAUUUGCAGAUCUGGUCCUUCCACUCUUGUUAAUUUUCAAAUCCGUCUCAAACUGCUAAUUUGUUCAAUUUUUUAUAAUUUGUCCCCAAACUUUUAAUUGUGCAAUCUAAACCAAAAAAAAAUUCUCAUGUAAA